AGAGUUUGAUCCUGGCUCAGGAUGAACGCUAGCUACAGGCUUAACACAUGCAAGUCGAGGGGCAGCAUGGUCUUAGCUUGCUAAGGCCGAUGGCGACCGGCGCACGGGUGAGUAACACGUAUCCAACCUGCCGUCUACUCUUGGACAGCCUUCUGAAAGGAAGAUUAAUACAAGAUGGCAUCAUGAGUCCACAUGUUCACAUGAUUAAAGGUAUUCCGGUAGACGAUGGGGAUGCGUUCCAUUAGAUAGUAGGCGGGGUAACGGCCCACCUAGUCUUCGAUGGAUAGGGGUUCUGAGAGGAAGGUCCCCCACAUUGGAACUGAGACACGGUCCAAACUCCUACGGGAGGCAGCAGUGAGGAAUAUUGGUCAAUGGGCGAGAGCCUGAACCAGCCAAGUAGCGUGAAGGAUGACUGCCCUAUGGGUUGUAAACUUCUUUUAUACGGGAAUAAAGUGAGCCACGUGUGGCUUUUUGUAUGUACCGUAUGAAUAAGGAUCGGCUAACUCCGUGCCAGCAGCCGCGGUAAUACGGAGGAUCCGAGCGUUAUCCGGAUUUAUUGGGUUUAAAGGGAGCGUAGAUGGAUGUUUAAGUCAGUUGUGAAAGUUUGCGGCUCAACCGUAAAAUUGCAGUUGAUACUGGAUAUCUUGAGUGCAGUUGAGGCAGGCGGAAUUCGUGGUGUAGCGGUGAAAUGCUUAGAUAUCACGAAGAACUCCGAUUGCGAAGGCAGCUUACUGGAUUGUAACUGACGCUGAUGCUCGAAAGUGUGGGUAUCAAACAGGAUUAGAUACCCUGGUAGUCCACACAGUAAACGAUGAAUACUCGCUGUUGGCGAUAUACAGUCAGCGGCCAAGCGAAAGCAUUAAGUAUUCCACCUGGGGAGUACGCCGGCAACGGUGAAACUCAAAGGAAUUGACGGGGGCCCGCACAAGCGGAGGAACAUGUGGUUUAAUUCGAUGAUACGCGAGGAACCUUACCCGGGCUUAAAUUGCAACUGACGGAAUCGGAAACGGUUCUUUCUUCGGACAGUUGUGAAGGUGCUGCAUGGUUGUCGUCAGCUCGUGCCGUGAGGUGUCGGCUUAAGUGCCAUAACGAGCGCAACCCUUACGGGUAGUUACCAUCAGGUUAUGCUGGGGACUCUACCCGGACUGCCGUCGUAAGAUGUGAGGAAGGUGGGGAUGACGUCAAAUCAGCACGGCCCUUACGUCCGGGGCUACACACGUGUUACAAUGGGGGGUACAGAAGGCAGCUACACGGCGACGUGGUGCUAAUCCCAAAAGCCUCUCUCAGUUCGGAUUGGAGUCUGCAACCCGACUCCAUGAAGCUGGAUUCGCUAGUAAUCGCGCAUCAGCCACGGCGCGGUGAAUACGUUCCCGGGCCUUGUACACACCGCCCGUCAAGCCAUGGGAGCCGGGGGUACCUGAAGUGCGUAACCGCGAGGAGCGCCCUAGGGUAAAACUGGUGACUGGGGCUAAGUCGUAACAAGGUAGCCGUACCGGAAGGUGCGGCUG
rnacentral:rRNA from 1 species